rnacentral:tRNA from 1 species
GGGAGUGGAUGGGUGCCGGUGUGUGCCCUCUAGUCUUCAAAACUAGUAUGAGGGGUUAAGAGCCUCUUAGGUGGGUUCGAUUCCCACGCAUUCCCGCCA